AGUGAACGCUGGCGGUAGGCCUAACACAUGCAAGUCGAACGGCAGCACAGUAAGAGCUUGCUCUUACGGGUGGCGAGUGGCGGACGGGUGAGGAAUACAUCGGAAUCUACUUUUUCGUGGGGGAUAACGUAGGGAAACUUACGCUAAUACCGCAUACGACCUACGGGUGAAGGCAGGGGGUCUUCGGACCUUGCGCGAUUGAAUGAGCCGAUGUCGGAUUAGCUAGUUGGCGGGGUAAAGGCCCACCAAGGCGACGAUCCGUAGCUGGUCUGAGAGGAUGAUCAGCCACACUGGAACUGAGACACGGUCCAGACUCCUACGGGAGGCAGCAGUGGGGAAUAUUGGACAAUGGGCGCAAGCCUGAUCCAGCCAUACCGCGUGGGUGAAGAAGGCCUUCGGGUUGUAAAGCCCUUUUGUUGGGAAAGAAAAGCAGCAGGUUAAUACCCCGCUGUUCUGACGGUACCCAAAGAAUAAGCACCGGCUAACUUCGUG
rnacentral:rRNA from 1 species